rnacentral:rRNA from 1 species
AACGAACGCUAUCGGUAUGCUUAACACAUGCAAGUCGGACGGACUAAUUAGGGCUUGCUCCAAUUAGUUAGUGGCAGACGGGUGAGUAACACGUGGGAAUCUGCCCCUCAGUACGGAAUAACUUUUAGAAAUAAAAGCUAAUACCGUAUAUUCUCUACAGAGGAAAGAUUUAUCGCUGAUGGAUGAGCCCGCGUCAGAUUAGGUAGUUGGUGAGGUAACGGCUCACCAAGCCGACGAUCUGUAGCUGGUCUGAGAGGAUGAUCAGCCACACUGGGACUGAGACACGGCCCAGACUCCUACGGGAGGCAGCAGUGGGGAAUAUUGGACAAUGGGCGAAAGCCUGAUCCAGCAAUACCGAGUGAGUGAUAAAGGCCCUAGGGUUGUAAAGCUCUUUUAGCAAGGAAGAUAAUGACGUUACUUGCAGAAAAAGCCCCGGCUAACUCCGUG